rnacentral:misc_RNA from 1 species
AUUUUACUAAAAUGCAUUAUUAAUAACAUGUAAUUUGAUGUGUUUAUGCUUAUUAUAUAGUAGUGUAUCUUAGUUUUACUUGCAUCUACUAAUAUUUACUCAUUUCAUGAGUUUUACAAAUUUUUCUAAAAAGUUUAAGUAGCAUCAGGGCGUUACCGUUACAUUAUGGCUAUUAUAGGCUGUUUCUAUUACCCGUGACUGCGAUUUAAAAUCAUGAUCUUAACCUUAAUAAUGAUUUAAAAUGUGAAAAAGAUUAUAAUGAUUUCACAUGUUAAAUCACAAAUCCAUUACUAAGCAAAUAAAAUUUUAUAAGAUAAAAUAAUACAAAAAGUUAUAAUAUGAGCAAUAUUAUACAAUUAAAUUCCGAAGUACCAAUACAAUCUAAUAAUAUUUAUAAUGAUAAGAAAUAAAAGGAAUGUAAUCCAAUAACAUAACAGUUCAUUUUUAUAAUAAAAUUAGCUUUAAAGUACCAUUUAUUCAAAAUAAAUGUUAAUUAUAAUAAUUAAUAAGUUUUUCAAAUA